CCUGGAAUGAACCAUUGUGACAUUAGUGAGGAGGAGACAACAAGAGCUCUCCAUGCCUUGUACCAAAUGCCUCUUCCUGAGAACAUAAAUAGCCUUCAAAAUAAUGCUGGUAGAGAUACGGCUGGAGUAAUUUCAGCUGAUAUCCAUGGGCUCUUAAAUAGCCUUCAAACUAAUGCUGGUCGAGAUACGGCUGGAGUAAUUUCAGCUGAUAUCCAUGGGCUCGGUUGCAGCAGUCAGAAUGUGGGUUUCGAUUAUGUGGCUAAUGGAGGAAAGAAGAAACACAAAUUAAGAGAGACACCAA
rnacentral:lncRNA from 1 species